UUUUGUUUUGUUUUGUUUUUGAGACAGAGUCUUACUCUGUCACCCAGGCUGAAGUGCAGUGGCAUGAUAAGAGCUCACUGCAGCCUUGAACUCCUGGGCUUAGGUGAUUCUUCAACCUCCCAAGUAGCUGGGACUGCAGGCAUGCACCACCAAGCCCAGCUAAUUUUCUUUUUUUGUAGAGAUGUGGUCUCACUAUGUCAUCCAGGCUGCUUUUGAACUCCUGGCCUCAAACAAUCCUCCUGCCUUGGCCUCCCAAAGCACUGACAUUACAGGUGUGAACCACCGCCCCCAGCCAAGUCUUCUCUCUCUUUUUUUGCCCACCGUGGUCAACCUAGCUAAAGGUUUGUCAAUUUUGUUGAUGUUUUCGAAGAGCCAGUUUUUGGUUUCAUUAAUUUUCUCUAUUAUUUUUCUAUUCUCUAUUUCAUUAACCUUUACUGUAAUAUUUAUUAUUUCUUUCUGUUCUUUCUGGUUUAGUUUGCUCUUUUUCCAUUGUCUUAACAUGGAAGGUUAGGUUAAGGUUAUUGAUUUGAGAUCUUCUUUCUUAAUAUAGGCAUUCACACAUAUUACAUUUAUACUUCUAGGCAUGUCUUUUCUUUUUUUGACAUGGGGUCUCACUCCAUCGCCCAGGCUGGAGUGCAGUGGUGUGAUAGCUCACUGCAACCUCCGCCUCCCAGGCUCAAGUGAUCCUCCCACCUCAGCCUCCUGAGUAGCUGGGAACACAGGCGCCAGCUAAUUUUUUCUGUUUUUAGUAGAGAUGGGGUUUCACCAUGUUGCACAGGCUGGUCUCGAACUCCUGUGCUCAAGCAAUCUGCCUGUCUCAGCCUCCCAAAGUGCUGGGAUUACAGGCGUGAGCCACCGGGCCUGGCCUGGCCUUUACCUGUGUCUCAUAAGUUUUUUGGUUUUUUUUUUUUUUUCUGAGAGGGAGUCUUGCUCUGUCGCCCAGGCUGGAGUGCAGUGGCACGAUCUCGGCUUACUGCAAGCUCCGCCUCCCGGGUUCACGCCAUUCUCCUGGCUCAGCCUCCCGAGUAGCUGGGACUAUAGGCGCCUGCCACCACGCCCGGCUAAUUUUUUGUAUUUUUAGUGGAGAUGGGGUUUCACUGUGUUAGCCAGGAUGGUCUCCAUCUCCUGACCUUGUGAUCUGCCUGCCUCGGCCUCCCAAAGUGCUGGGAUUACAGGCGUGAGCCACCGUGCCCGGCCAUAAGUUUUGAUAUGUUGUGUCUUUAUUCCUGUUUAUCUCAGAGUAUUUUCUGAUUUCUCUUUUGAUUUAUUAUUUGAGACGUUGGCUAUUUAGGAGUGUGUUGUUUACUUUCUACAUAUUUGUGAAUUUCCAAAGUUUUUUUUUUCUGCUAUUGACUUCUAAUUUCAUUCCAUUGUGGUUGGAAAACAUACAUUGUAUGACUUCUAUCCUUUCAAUUUUAUUGAGGUUUUC
rnacentral:lncRNA from 10 species